rnacentral:rRNA from 1 species
GAUCAUGGCUCAGAUUGAACGCUGGCGGCAGGCUUAACACAUGCAAGUCGAACGGUAACAUAAAGAAGCUUGCUUCUUUGAUGACGAGUGGCGGACGGGUGAGUAAUGCUUGGGAAUCUAGCUUAUGGAGGGGGAUAACUACGGGAAACUGUAGCUAAUACCGCGUAAUAUCGAAAGAUUAAAGUGUGGGACCUUCGGGCCGCAUGCCAUAAGAUGAGCCCAAGUGGGAUUAGGUAGUUGGUGAAGGG